UACGUAGGGGGCAAGCGUGUUCGGAAUUACUGGGCGUAAAGGGCGCGUAGGCGGCACGACAAGUCGGAAGUGAAAGCCCGGGGGCUCAACCCCCGGAACGUCUUUCGAAACUGUCGAGCUAGAGUGCAGAAGAGGCAACUGGAAUUCCCAGUGUAGCGGUGAAAUGCGUAGAUAUUGGGAAGAACACCUGAGGCGAAGGCGGGUUGGCUGGGCUGGACACUGACGCUGAGGAGCGAAAGCGUGGGGGAGCAAACAGG
rnacentral:rRNA from 1 species